rnacentral:rRNA from 1 species
UAGGGAAUCUUCGGCAAUGGGGGGAACCCUGACCGAGCAACGCCGCGUGAGUGAAGAAGGUUUUCGGAUCGUAAAGCUCUGUUGUUAAGGAAGAACGAGUGUGAGAAUGGAAAGUUCAUGCUGUGACGGUACUUAACCAGAAAGGGACGGCUAACUACGUGCCAGCAGCCGCGGUAAUACGUAGGUCCCGAGCGUUGUCCGGAUUUAUUGGGCGUAAAGCGAGCGCAGGCGGUUAGAUAAGUCUGAAGUUAAAGGCAGUGGCUCAACCAUUGUAGGCUUUGGAAACUGUUUAACUUGAGUGCAGAAGGGGAGAGUGGAAUUCCAUGUGUAGCGGUGAAAUGCGUAGAUAUAUGGAGGAACACCGGUGGCGAAAGCGACUCUCUGGUCUGUAACUGACGCUGAGGCUCGAAAGCGUGGGGAGCGAACAGG